GGAGAGUCCAGAAACAGCACUCAGGGACUUGUCAAAUUUGCAUCAUAGAUAUCUAACCAAAGCUGGUGCCAAGUUCAAAGAUGCCAAUGGGACCACAUCUAUAGUCUGUGAAAUUUCUCCUCUUCUUUCCUAUGCUGGAGAGGGGUUAGAGAAUAAAGUUAAAGGCAAAGAAUUUUCUGCCACAGAUGAAAUUUACCUCCCAGCAGAUGGAGAAGAAAAAAUAGAAGAACCAGCGCUCAAGAGAAGUAGGGAAUGCUGAGACUGUUUUCAAAAUUGUCGCUAAAUCAUCCGACGGCCUACGACGUUCACAAAGUGAUCACAGCCAUUAGGCGGCCACUUGAAAAUCAAGCUAUUUCAUGAUUGCGUGAGUUCUCAAGUGUGGUUUCAUAGGAUCUUCCCAAUCAUCUCAAACAAAAAAAUCAAGACGAUCUGAAGUAUUUGAAAACACAACACAACUAGUUACUGUACGACCCGAACGAUCAUGAUGAUCGGAUAGAAGUAAAGAGUUCUAUCGAGACGAGUAUUUUCCCGAUGGUCCUGCGGGUCAGUGAUAGCCUAUGCUGUCUUUCUACAUAACCUUCCCGAUCGUCUGGUAGAUAACCAUUUAAGAUUUAAGAUAAUCCUUUUUAUCGGCCGAAAUCAUAACUUCAGACACUUACAGAACCACGGUGGGCUAGUUUUUAAAGGUGACCGAAGCAAAAUAUCAAGAAAUGCUUUUUGAAUUAACUUCGUGGAUGUUAUGAUUAAAAAGUCUUUGAAUCACAUGGCAAUUUGUUUUCCUUGCGCGUGAGUGAUAAUUUGUGAUGAUAGUUUAUUGAGCACUUGAGGAAUUUCCGACGCAUAAAAUGCGUGAAAGUCGUUAAGGUAUUGGUUAACUGUAUUUUUGAUUGAAGUAAGAGCAAUGAUGUUGCUAUUGCAGGUAGAUAAGAUAUCUGAAAAUAGUUCAGAAAUUCUGAUACAUAUUUUAAAGUAUGAACAAUAUUGAUCAAUAUGAAUGUUCUGGGAACUUAGCAACCGAAAGUUUAAUCGGGAAGCAUUUGUAUGGAUGAUUAUUGUGAGAGCUGAGGCUUAACAGAUACAGUGAAGGUGCAAUCAUUUGCUGUCUGCUUUUAGUAUUUUUGUUCAAAGUGAUAUAAUUGUAAUGUGAAUGAAAGAUUUUCGCCAUUUUCCUAUUGACUGAAACGAUGUGAGGAAUGGUAUUUUAAUGAAAAUGAA